AUUGAACGCUGGCGGCAUGCCUUACACAUGCAAGUCGAACGGUAACGGGCCUUCGGGUGCCGACGAGUGGCGAACGGGUGAGUAAUACAUCGGAACGUGCCCGAUCGUGGGGGAUAACGAGGCGAAAGCUUUGCUAAUACCGCAUACGAUCUACGGAUGAAAGCAGUGGACCGCAAGGCCUUGCGCGGACGGAGCGGCCGAUGGCAGAUUAGGUAGUUGGUGGGAUAAAAGCUUACCAAGCCGACGAUCUGUAGCUGGUCUGAGAGGAUGAUCAGCCACACUGGGACUGAGACACGGCCCAGACUCCUACGGGAGGCAGCAGUGGGGAAUUUUGGACAAUGGGCGCAAGCCUGAUCCAGCCAUGCCGCGUGCAGGAUGAAGGCCUUCGGGUUGUAAACUGCUUUUGUACGGAACGAAAAGCCUUCUUUUAAUACAGGAGGGUCAUGACGGUACCGUAAGAAUAAGCACCGGCUAACUACGUG
rnacentral:rRNA from 1 species